rnacentral:rRNA from 1 species
GCAGAACGCGAAGAACCUUACCCACCUUUGACAUGUACGGAAGUUGCCAGAGAUGGCUCCGUGCUCGAAAGAGAGCCGUAACACAGGUGCUGCAUGGCUGUCGUCAGCUCGUGUCGUGAGAUGUUGGGUUAAGUCCCGCAACGAGCGCAACCCUUGUCAUUAGUUGCUACGAAAGGGCACUCUAAUGAGACUGCCGGUGACAAACCGGAGGAAGGUGGGGAUGACGUCAAGUCCUCAUGGCCCUUAUAGGUGGGGCUACACACGUCAUACAAUGGCCGGUACAAAGGGCAGCCAACCCGCGAGGGGGAGCUAAUCCCAUAAAGCCGGUCGUAGUCCGGAUCGCAGUCUGCAACUCGACUGCGUGAAGUCGGAAUCGCUAGUAAUCGUGGAUCAGCGUGUCACAGUGAAUACGUUCCCGGGUCUUGUACACACCG